CCAUUUCCCUAGCAGGUUGAGCUAACCCCAUCCCUUUUCCCUAGCAGGUUGAGCUAACCCCAUCCCUUUUCCCUAGCAGGUUGAGCUAACCCCAUCCCUUUUCCCUAGCAGGUUGAGCUAACCCCAUCCCUUUUCCCUAGCAGGUUGAGCUAACCCCAUCCAUUUCCCUAGCAGGUUGAGCUAACCCCAUCCAUUUCCCUAGCAGGUUGAGUUAACCCCAUCCCUUUUCCUGAGCAGGUUGAGCUAACCCCAUCCAUUUCCCUAGCAGGUUGAGCUAACCCCAUCCCUUUUCCCUAGCAGGUUGAGCUAACCCCAUCCCUUUUCCCUAGCAGGUUGAGCUAACCCCAUCCAUUUCCCUAGCAGGUUGAGUUAACCCCAUCCCUUUUCCUGAGCAGGUUGAGCUAACCCCAUCCAUUUCCCUAGCAGGUUGAGUUAACCCCAUCCCUUUUCCUAGCAGGUUGAGCUAACCCCAUCCCUUUUCCCUAGCAGGUU